rnacentral:rRNA from 1 species
UGGACCGCAAUGAGGUCGAUCCGGGGGAUUCAACCGGGGCCGUUGCGAUCGGGACGCGUGGGGGUUAUGCGGAGCUGUAAAGCCCGUGCCUCUGCGUGGGUCUCCGGGCGGACCGGUGCACUUUCCUCGGGUCGAUUGCCACGACCGGCUCUCCCCUAGCGGCCACAAGCCAGUUGCCGGGAAGGUGACCGUGGGCCCCCGCGCCCGCGGUGUUACAGACCGGCUCGCUGGUAGAGCUCGUGGGGGGGCCGAGGAAGUUGCCGUUUCUCGUCGCCCUCCGACCAUCCUUGCUCGUCACGACUGGGGCGAACUGUGCCAGGUCAGUGCUCUCCCGACCGCGAGCGUAGGAAGGGCCGGAGACGGCGUGAGAAUAGCUUCGGGCCGGUGGCGAAUCGGUCGGUCCUCCACCCGACCCGUCUUG